UGUGUGUGGCAAGGCCCCCUGUUCGCUUUCUUCACUUGAUACACACAGAUAGAUCACGUUGGACCUCCGUUUCGGUUGACCGAUCAGCUAUCAAUUACAGGCUGGUGUGACGGCCAGUCCCGUAGAACAGCCAAUAAAGAGACAGUGCACGCCUAGACUUUUCGGUCAUUUUCUUCCGCAUGUCUCUCUAGUUCUAUUCAUUUGAAAAACUUGUAGUAAGAGCCUCUUUAAACUCUUUCACUGCUCUUGUAGCCGUCGCUUGCACUAUUGCUGAUAACCUGACGGCAUAUACUGUAAUUGCUUAUCCUGCGCAACUGUGUGGAAAAGAUGAGUUCUUUGAGAAUCGUCUUUGGAGCUGCUGUAAUCGCGACGGUGAUGCAGGGCAGUUAUUGCCAAUCGACAGGGAGCUGUGUGCAGCUGAACACGUGCGACAAGUGCAUUUCAGGGGAUGCCUCUCUGAACAUUACCAAGUGUCUGUGGCUUCAGUGUGAUUCAGGGAACUCCAGCUGUGUGGAAAAAAGCGAGGCACCUGAAGGCUGUUCUCUCUUCAACGAUACAGGCAAAUGCUCCGGUGAACCAUCUCCAACUUCAGGCGGCUUGAGCCCCAGCUCAGAUGCACCUGCUCCUACAGAACCCGAGCCGGUAUACUCUCAGCCGAACUUCAACCUGGCAAGCUUCAUUGGGGGAAUCAUCCUGGUGCUUGGAAUUCAGUCAGCCAUCUUCUUUGUAAUGAGGUUUUUCAAGUCCAGAGACAGCACCUACCAGACUCUACCAGAUGACUGACAGCUGUAACAUCUCUGUCGUCACUCCGGGGUAAACCCUCCUGGACCCAUCUCAUCCUGCUGACUAUGCCAUUGUAAGAGAUCAGACAGACCACAAUAAAGAGUUGGGGCAUCAUCCUGGUAACUCUGUAUAACAGGAAUGCAGCAAAAACAAGAAAAUGAACAAUAACUGCAAAAAUGCCAUUUCAGACACGACUUUGAACUGUUUUCAAAAUGGGCAAACUUCUGGUCUUAUGCCCUUCCAGCAGGAAGAGGUGACUCCAGGCGAACGGACACCAGAAGUGAUUUCUGAGAUUUUACAGCAGUCAAUCAGCUGGUCUGCAGAAGGAGAAAGAGCAAAAGCAUUAGAACACAGUACCAACCCUGGAGUGGCAGGAUCUGAAGAAAGAAUUCUGGUAUGACAACGAAUUGACUGGUUGGGUGAAUUAUUUUCAGAACUUUUCAGACUUUACUUUUAGUCAGAUAACCUGAUCAUUGGAAUGUGGUAUGGUGGUUUUAGUCCACGCUGUCUCAAGACGACCAGUAAUGUUUCCAGAUCAACCCUCAAGAGAGAAUGAAAGUGAACCAAAAGAAAGGAUAUCAAACAAGACCUGUGCCAAUCCUAAUUUUCUCAGCAUUUUGCAAGAUUACAACAUUCCACAGGUGCUAUCAUCCUCACAGAUCAAACUGUCCAGUGGCCUCUGUAUGCUCAUUCUUCAAUAUGUGGUUCACAGUUAAGGUACCCUUGAUCCAUUAUACGAGUCAACAAUUAAAAACGGAAGAAAGAAAAACAGACAAUGGACACUGUGCAGAUGACAUGCAAAGUUUGGAGGUGGGCGUUAAAAAUUCUAACGGUGUGCUUUUCAAAAACACAGUAUGGCUACAGAAGGUGUUUUAUAGUACAUUGUUUAGAAAUAAUAUUUUAAGCAAGCUGUAAUGGACAUGCUACUGAAAAAGUAAAUGAUUUGUUCUUUGUAUUUUUCAUUUUACCAAGAACAAUUAGUAAACUCCUGCCUGUUUUCAUAUUUGCUCAUAUUUUAAGACAAUAGACUCCCAAUAUAUUCAUGUCCUAGCCAUAAAAUCCCCAUUUUACACCCAGUCUUCAUGCUAAAGUGUUGCUGUUGUUUAAAUUUAAUUUCUGGGUUUAAUGGAUGGGCCUUGGGCAGAAUGCAAUAUGAUAAGGCAUCAUGGCCUGUAAUUGCUAUACAGAACACCUUUUAAUAAUACUUUCCCAUAAAGAUACUAUAUAAAGUACUUGUCUUCAAUAAAAAAAAUCUACUCCUUGUGCUCCCUCUUCUGGUGGCAGGGAUUUUUAAAAUGAUUCCUAUUUUUACAAAGAGUCUAGUAUAUGUUUAAGAAUGAGCAGCAUGGCAGCUAGUGUGGAUCUCAUACCUCCAUGAAGCCAGCUCAGAUUGUCAGUUCACUGUCUGUGUAAGGUUUGCAGAUAAUCCCUUUGUCCAUGUGGAUUUUUCUGAGCACUUCUGUUUUAUUUUUCUUUCUCGCCAUCCAAAUGUGCACUCUUGGAUUAAUAUUAGUGAAUUUAAAUUGGCCUGGUUUGGGUGUAUGCUUUGAGUGUGGUCUUUGAUGGGCUGGAAUUCGAUCUGAUUCUGCUUUGUUCCUGACACUUUCAGGAUAGUGUUUUGCGAUGUCAAAGUUUUUCAUAGAUAAAGUGGAUGGAUAGAUGUACUCUGUUGAUAUCCAAGGGGAAAUUCACAUACUCCAGUAAUCACUCACAACAUGAAAUGCUCACAAACAAAAGUGCAAUAGUAAAAACCAAAGUGCACACUAAUGUUCAAGACCCAGAACUAUAGACGUACAGUAUACCCAGUGUAUGUUUAAUAUACUGUGCAGUGACCUUUAAAAAAAGUCCCUAUGAUAGUAAUAACUGACAUAUAAAUGUACAGUAAAUCACACAAUAUAGCUUAUUUUUAAGGUACAAGAAUGUAAAUUAAAAACAUGAUGAUUUGGUUUCCAUCACUUGCUUAUUCUGUGCCUCUAAGCGCUUAACUUAGCCUGCCUGCCUGUGAUCAUAAUCCUAGAAGCAUAAAAACUAGGCCUGGGAAUUGAUUAAAAAUUAAUCUGUUUAAUCACAUAAUUAUAUGAAAUUAGUCGCAAUUAAUCACAUCUAACAUUUAAACAUAAAAUCAUAAAGUAAUUACAAAUAAUCAUGAAGUAAGUAUAUAUUGAAUCACAAAAUUAAUUUAGAAUCAACACAAAAUAGCCUUUUAAAAUGUAAGGACAUCGUUUAAACUUAAACAAUGACCUGAAAUCUGACCUUUUAACAAAAUACUACUUAAGCAAGUACAACGUGAAUUUGAAUGCCUUCCUAAAAGGCAAGUUGGAAAGAAUGCAAUAAGAAAAUUAAGCCAGUGUAUUAGUUCUUAAAUUGGUAUGGCAUAUGAGACACAGACGUGUCAAAGUAAAAUUAAGCAAUCAAUAUCAUCUGUAGGUUUUGAAUGCACUGCUAAAGACUGACUUAAUUGAAAUAAGCAUCUCUUAAAUAGGCAUACUUUAAAACUUGUGUUAAAACUCCUCAAAUGCCAUCCACAAUUGUUCGUUACCAUCAAUGACUUUAUAAUUGUACUCUAAAUAAGUGUUUUUCAAUUGAUAUGCAAAGAAAGCUACUCAGGUGUGAUGUAUAGGACUGUCUGUAUGAGCAGGCAAAGGGAUGUAGCAGCUGGGAAAAUGCAUCCAAAGUGCUCACUAAGUACUGUGUCUGCGAAUGCCAACCUCCAGGCUGUUUUAUUUUUUUAGCUGCACCUUUACUCUCCCUUUCAGACAGUUUAGCAUGUCUAGGAGACUUAAUGGUUUUGUGCUUGGUAGAAUCAUGGCGUGUCUAUGGAUUCUUUGAGUUAUAAACAGUGUGCCACCAAAGAAAAACAGUUGGAAAACACUACUCAGCCUACACCCAUUGCUCCUAGCAUGCCAGAAAAGUUCAGUGUAGCAGCUAUCUCACUUAAAAUUCUGACACCAUGCAUUAUUUGGGUGGUUAUGUUGUGUUCUUUACAUGAAUUAGUAAAGGUAAUGCAAACUGGAAUAAUGGAUAGGGAUAAUCAUUACACUUCUGUUUCAUAGAAUAUUGCCAUUGUAUUAGGGCCGUAAGCACUGUAAGCUACCUGGCAGAAUGGCAAGUUAAGCACAGAGAUACUAGAGACGUUUUUUGGUUUUAGUGCCACUCAAAGAAAAUGUAUCUUGCAUGUAUGUGAUAUGACAUUGAUUCAGUCUUCUUACAGAAACAUGAUAUGAAAAAAGAAAAGAGAGAGUGUAAUUUUUUACCUUUGCUACCUUUCUUUAGCAUUGCUCCAAGACUACCCUAAACCCCCUUUCCUCUCACUCCUCUGCAUCUUUCUCAGUAUGUAUAAUCAAGGAAAUUAAUACCAGUGCCAUGUACUGACAUGUGGCAAGUUGUUGUUAAACGCAUAAAUUGAAACUUUUAAAUAAAAUUUUAUGUUUGAAACUUUUAAAGGUACUAUAUGAAUAUGGUACUGGAUAUUUAUGUAAUUCUUAAGGUUCACAUUUAACUUUUUUGUAUUGUUGUUCCAUAAUGUAAAAAAAAAAUUAAACAAUUAUGUGAGAAUGCCACCCUGACCAAAUUUAAACAAUUACAUGGGAAUGCCACCCUGACUAAAGCACUUCUGAUGCAAUUGCCUCGUUACCGGCUCUGGAUAUGACAAUAUUUGUUAACACAUUAAACAUGCCAGAUUAAUCACAAAAAUUAAUUUGGUAACUUUCCCAGGCCUAAUAAAAACAAAAGUACAGUACUCACAAGUAGCUGGUGUGUCCAAGUGCUAAAACUACAGGGGUGCAAUUGCAGUCCCCAACACCUUGACUCUCAGUGAGAAUCUGGAUGAGUCUUAAUGAUGGCCACCUUAAAGAAAGAUGCAAAUAGCUUCAUUAUGCAUGUCAGUUAGACGAACAACACAGCAGCACAAGAGUUAAUGCUGCUGUCUGACGGCUACAGAGAGCUGGGUUUUAAUUGCAUCUUGGGCACUUUUGCUGUGAAUUUGCACAUUGUCCACAUGUCCAUGUGAGGUUUUACUGGGCACGCUAUGGUGACUCACAAUGACUGGACAUUGAUGUACAGUGUACUUGAGUGUGCCCUCCAAAGGGCUUGGUCCGGUGUCUUUGACCAUAAAUUUGGAUCAAGGCAUUUCAGAGAAUGGAUGGAUAUAAAUUAGGUAGUGUGUACCCUUUUGGUUAAGGAAACAGACUUUGAGACACAAAGAUGCCACUGACCGUCUUUGUCAUCUUUAUUGAUGCCAUGUAAUCUGUGCAAAAAAACUGUAUACUGAUUUGUAUUUGGAUAAAAGCUUAAAACUACAUAAAUGAAAAACAUUAAUUGGGCAUUCCAAAUCAGGGAAGAAGACCAUACGUAAGUGAUGGGAUUUUAAUUAUUUACUUUCAUUUGCAUUUUUUUCCCCCAAGAUUGUUUAUUAUGAUCAUCAGGUAUUAAUUCAUGGAAAUGAACAUUCAGCUUCUUGGCUGAUGACUUUUUGUGAUUUGGUUUAUUAUGAAAGGCUGUAUGCAAAACUUUUGCAUGGAGUAGAAAGACAUUCAGUUAUUUAACUUAAAGAGACACCCUUUGAUAAUGUUGAGUUGCUUAUCUGGUUCCUUCAGUGUUUGUUUAUUCACUUUUUUAGGAUAAAGCCUUUCUUUCCAUUCUCUUAUUAAUUUUCUUUCUGUUUUUGGUUGUUUGGUUUGUGAUCUUUUUUUUAUAACCUAAUGUUUAAAGCCGUAAGUGUUUUUACAAAUGAGCAGUGAACAGUCUGCAAGACUUCAGGGCUAAGUUAGUUAAGCUUUAAGUGGACAGUUUAAAAAAGCAUUGUGAGUUUAUUUUUGAUAAUAUGCUUUAACUUUGUCUUAAAACCAUGUGUGCCUUCAAAUUGUUUUGUGACAUUCUUUAAUGUUCCACUUUGGAAUUUCUGAGAUGUAAUUUGUGUGCAGUAUUGAAAUAAAAUUCUUCUUUUUGGACUUAA